CGGAGAGUUGAAUUUAUUGAAUUGUACAAGAUAACUGUCAUUGCUUACAAAGAAAGUAAGAAAGAAAGACCCUGACUCAGUCUGUUCCAUAAGCAAGAAAUAUUCCGCCAAGAUGCUACCUGUACUUUCUACAAUAUAUAUAUUCUACAUGCAGAACUACAAACCGAUUCAGGUUAUGGUAUCACAGCUACAAUAUUUAGUGGAGGAUAGAAAAGGCCGAAGUCAGGAAAGAACGACAGUAAAUACUAUUUUUAAAUGCUUUUUAUAAAGUAAACAGAUGCUUUACGAAACCAGAAGGAACGGGAAGAAAUGAGGGAAACGCGUGAUCGCAUUGCCUGUGUACACUGUACUUGCUUAUUGUUGUUGUUUACCGAAGGUCAACAUCACGGGCUAUAGCACUGGGAGAAGAACUUAUAUUUAUAUAAAAGAAAAAAAUUGUCCAAAAAGCUUUAAGGAUUUUUUAAAUGUGUGAAAGUCUGUGUUGUUAUCAUUAUGAUGAGGAGUAGGGGUGGGGGACGUCAGUCAGUGUCAGUUGUCUCCCUUGUCCAGAGUUGCUACACGUGUCGUUGUCUGUGUGUCCACGUGUAGGCAAAUAAUACCUGUACAUCCUGGAAUUUCAGGCAUAGCUUCUUGUGGAUAUAUGAUAUAUACAUUAAAUAAGCAAACGUGAGUUUUAUUUGGCCGUGUCUUGCUACUCAAAGUGUUUACAUUGUGGCAUGGUCUUCUCGUUUUUCUCUCUUCUUCUGCUUUGUGCAGACGAGUGCACACACUCAAUCAACUAUGCCACGACCAAGAAAGUGGUUUCCAUUUGGAUAUACGGUCUCUGUGGAUAAACGCGGGCAGCUUCGUACACGUAUUCAACGAUUGUCAGCGGAGGAUAUGAGGGUUUUUAUGCGGCUAAACAGAACUCUUGACCAGGGGCAAGAUGGUGGUGUAAGCACCCAGCAACAGGAGGAGCGUGACACCUUCCAGGAUAUUCCUCUAGCUAGCACGAGGCGGGGAAGGAUUCAGGACUUGCGAGACAAAGUCAUCACUAAAAUGUCAAAAAUUGCAAGAAUGUGAAAUAUCUUGUUUCAAGAGCUGCAGGAGGUGUGGUUUCUAAAUCACAACUUGGCCUGAACCAGUUUCCUUACGAGAGGGCCAGAAAGGGGGAAUUCAUAAUUCAUGGGAUUCCCCCAUCCUUAAUGCCCUUGCAGCCCCCUGGAAGGCUGGCCACAAACAAACUCCUACAAAUCCUUGACUGUGAAGUCACUGUGACCAGAGCACCAUCAGCUAUAGAUUCCUCCCACAUUUCACACACAAAUGAAAUUACAGAAAAUAUGUUGCAACCAACACAAACACCAUUUGUACAUGGAUCAUCAACAUCUCAUUCAAACGCUAAAGAAAUAGAAAAUAGAUUACAAGAGACACAAACACAACUUGUAUAUUCAACAUCAUCAUCAUCUGCAAAUAAUGAAGCAACAGGAAACAUUACAUCAGAUACAAACACAACCUCUACAUAACACAUCAACACAUACGCACAGUACAUUAGACAUAAACCGACCUACUCGACUUUUAGAACACAAUUAACAACUGUCACAUCUCAUCAACACCGCAGAAAUGUGUGAUGGAAGAACCCCAGGUCAUGCCACAGACGGACAGUUCUGGAGCCUGCUUAUCACAGACAAGCAAAAUCAGCCAGAUGAUCAGACAAAUACUACUUCUGUGGAAGUUCCAUUAAAGGAAUUGCCAAAGGCCAAAAGAACAAGUCACAUGGGACAUAAUGACAAUCAAAGCAUUAGAAAACAGUUUGGGGCCUCUUGGGGCCGUUGAUCACAUACCCAGUUCAACUGAAAUUGAAAGAAUUCACCAGAACAAUCCGAGAACCCCUUCUGGCGACGGGAAAAGCGUGUCUUGGCUGGCCAUGUAACCAGCAACAACACUUUAGUGAAGAGCAUCCUCUGGGAAACCCUUGUGUGAGGACAAAGACAAUGAGGGUUGAGGAAGAACAAACGUAAAAUAUAGGGCUAAACAUGCCACUCAGCAGGAAUGAUGCAAGACUUGCGCAAGAACUGUCUCAAUGUCCCCGACGAUACCACAGUAUUGUGUAAAAGAAGAUAUGAAUGAAUAAUCAAUUAGUCUUCCAGGGACAACAAAUCCAAGAUGGUUUAACACAAGUCAAAUAACAUUUAUAGGUACAUGUAAAUAGAAAAUCGCGCGGGCAUACUUAGGUGUGGCACCUCUUCACCCACCCCGGGAGUUUGGCGCAAGUAGGCUAGGUGGGUGGAUUAGAAUAGAAAUAUCUGUGUUGUGUGUGUGUUAGUAAUGUAAAUAAAUCUGUCUUUGAACCUAUUUACCUGUGGUAACAUGU
rnacentral:lncRNA from 1 species